GCUGCAUCCUGGACCAUUUUCAGACAGUUGUCAAGUGGCUGUGAAGCUCACAAUUGUUUGGCUGCCUGGGAAUGUGUGCCUUCCAGCCACUCUCAGGCACAUCAUCACUGAAUGAUGCCUUUGGGUCCUUGAACGGAAGUGGUCUGUCUUUCAGCUCUGAUCAAUCACGCCUGUUUAUUAGGCAAGGUGAUUAAAGUGGUGGCGAACAUAGAAGAAGAAUUCUCCAGAUGAUGCAACAGGGUAAAGGACACAUGAGACAUCAAAGAAACAAUUCCUAGAUGAUAUGUCAGACACGAUUGCCUUUGAAAGAGCAAGAUGUACAUGGAAGAACCCAAAGGCCACACUUUUGAAAAGGAAAAACAAGAAUAAGCCCUGUUGCUCUUUAAGGAGAAAGGAAGGAACAGAAGGCUGCUGGGGCCUUUCUCACGUGGCCUGUGUUCUGUAAAGCAACUUCCCAGCAGCAGCAUGGCACUGUUCUAGUUCGCCCAGUCCUACUGAAUCUCCUGCUGCACCAGAUCCUCUUGUCCUGCCAUGGUGAAAGCCUGAGGAAGACUGAAGUAAAGACUUUGGAUCUGUGAAGGGGACAAGGAGAAAACUCCAGCUAUGAGCAGGCACUCAUGUUGCCGUGAACUACGCACUGAGUACUGGGAUGUUGGAUAUUGUGUGGACACUUGAGGAAGAAUGAAGAAUUUAGCCAUGAUGAAUUUAUACUAAGAUGCAGAUGGAGUUAUUGCCAUGGUGUUAGGACAAGCUGAUUGUGUUAAAGCAUGUGACACACCUAAUUUCAGAAACCAGAGGGGAAAUCGCCGCUCAUUAAAGUUCAAGCUUGCAUCCCUUUGGUCUCCUCCAACUAGAGCCAUGAUAUGAUGGUCCUGCCCAGGUCAUGUAAGUGAGAGUCUGCCAGGUGGGGUCCUGGAAACCUUUUUCUCUCUUGAUAAAGAGAGACUCCACUGAUGUCCUUUCAUGUUUUGCCCAUCCUUCUUUAUGCAUGGAAGCCUGGACGCGAAUCAGCCUUCAAGUCUCUAAGGUCACAGCUGUGAUGGACAUGGAACAAGGUGCUAUGGGUUGAGGGACAGAUGCAGAGAGAGCACAGGACCCCAGAGGCAUCAUUUUCACCAGCUCUUGGCUACCUGCCUCCUGACUUCUUGGUAUAUGAGAAAAACAAACUCUCAUUGUUCAAGUUAUUACUUUCUCCUUGCCGUAUUUUUCUCAUCCAAAUACAAAACUACCUGAGGCUAUUAUAGACUUGUAAUUUCUCCCACCCAUGGAAAAAUGUGAUGAUUGUUAAAUCUUUAGAAAUAAUGAAUAAUGGUAAAAAGAAGUCAUCCAAGUUUUAGCAUCCAUUAUGACAAAAAAAUCAGAAUAUGUGUUGCUGUUCUAAGAAAUUUAGUAUUAAGAGAGCCAUAUGUUUAUGCCUAUGUUUAAAAACAUAGGGAUUAAAAUUAGUCUUACUUUCAUAAGGCAGCCAUUGGCACCUGAUUUCUGAUGAAACCACUGGUUAUUUGCUGUACCAGGUUAAAACAAAUUACUUUUAUUUGUAUAUUAUAUAUAUAUAUAUAUAACAUCAGGACUGCUUGUGAAUUGCCAUCUGUAAUGAAAUUUUAUUCUAUGUAAAUGAUAUCUAAUUAUUAAGAAGAAUUGUUGUCAAGAUAAAUGAGUAAAUAAAGCUGUCUAUGAUCUUAAAUUUUGAGAAAUAUACUUAAUCUGAGUUUCUAUUACUUUCAAUUAUGUCAGUGAAAAAUAACUCUAAAAUGUUAUAUUCCGGGAUGAUUUCGUGA
rnacentral:lncRNA from 1 species